rnacentral:rRNA from 1 species
GGUUAAGCGACUAAGCGUACACGGUGGAUGCCCUGGCAGUCAGAGGCGAUGAAGGACGUGCUAAUCUGCGAUAAGCGUCGGUAAGGUGAUAUGAACCGUUAUAACCGGCGAUUUCCGAAUGGGGAAACCCAGUGUGAUUCGUCACACUAUCAUUAACUGAAUCCAUAGGUUAAUGAGGCGAACCGGGGGAACUGAAACAUCUAAGUACCCCGAGGAAAAGAAAUCAACCGAGAUUCCCCCAGUAGCGGCGAGCGAACGGGGAGCAGCCCAGAGCCUGAAUCAGUGUGUGUGUUAGUGGAAGCGUCUGGAAAGGCGUGCGAUACAGGGUGACAGCCCCGUACACAAAAAUGCACAUGCUGUGAGCUCGAUGAGUAGGGCGGGACACGUGGUAUCCUGUCUGAAUAUGGGGGGACCAUCCUCCAAGGCUAAAUACUCCUGACUGACCGAUAGUGAACCAGUACCGUGAGGGAAAGGCGAAAAGAACCCCGGCGAGGGGAGUGAAAAAGAACCUGAAACCGUGUACGUACAAGCAGUGGGAGCACAGAGCAAUCUGUGUGACUGCGUACCUUUUGUAUAAUGGGUCAGCGACUUAUAUUCUGUAGCAAGGUUAACCGAAUAGGGGAGCCGAAGGGAAACCGAGUCUUAACUGGGCGUUAAGUUGCAGGGUAUAGACCCGAAACCCGGUGAUCUAGCCAUGGGCAGGUUGAAGGUUGGGUAACACUAACUGGAGGACCGAACCGACUAAUGUUGAAAAAUUAGCGGAUGACUUGUGGCUGGGGGUGAAAGGCCAAUCAAACCGGGAGAUAGCUGGUUCUCCCCGAAAGCUAUUUAGGUAGCGCCUCGUGAAUUCAUCUCCGGGGGUAGAGCACUGUUUCGGCAAGGGGGUCAUCCCGACUUACCAACCCGAUGCAAACUGCGAAUACCGGAGAAUGUUAUCACGGGAGACACACGGCGGGUGCUAACGUCCGUCGUGAAGAGGGAAACAACCCAGACCGCCAGCUAAGGUCCCAAAGUCAUGGUUAAGUGGGAAACGAUGUGGGAAGGCCCAGACAGCCAGGAUGUUGGCUUAGAAGCAGCCAUCAUUUAAAGAAAGCGUAAUAGCUCACUGGUCGAGUCGGCCUGCGCGGAAGAUGUAACGGGGCUAAACCAUGCAC